GCUGCGAUGCUUUACCAUGCAGUCGAACGGCAGCACGGGCUUCGGCCUGGUGGCGAGUGGCGAACGGGUGAGUAAUACAUCGGAACGUACCCAGAAGUGGGGGAUAACGCAGCGAAAGUUGCGCUAAUACCGCAUACGUUCUACGGAAGAAAGUGGGGGAUCUUCGGACCUCAUGCUUUUGGAGCGGCCGAUGUCUGAUUAGCUAGUUGGUGGGGUAAAGGCUCACCAAGGCGACGAUCAGUAGCUGGUCUGAGAGGACGACCAGCCACACUGGAACUGAGACACGGUCCAGACUCCUACGGGAGGCAGCAGUGGGGAAUUUUGGACAAUGGGCGCAAGCCUGAUCCAGCAAUGCCGCGUGAGUGAAGAAGGCCUUCGGGUUGUAAAGCUCUUUUGUCAGGGAAGAAACGGUUCCGGCUAAUAUCCGGGGCUAAUGACGGUACCUGAAGAAUAAGCACCGGCUAACUACGUGCCAGCAGCCGCGGUAAUACGUAGGGUGCAAGCGUUAAUCGGAAUUACUGGGCGUAAAGCGUGCGCAGGCGGUUUUGUAAGUCUGUCGUGAAAGCCCCGGGCUCAACCUGGGAAUUGCGAUGGAGACUGCAAGGCUUGAAUCUGGCAGAGGGGGGUAGAAUUCCACGUGUAGCAGUGAAAUGCGUAGAGAUGUGGAGGAACACCGAUGGCGAAGGCAGCCCCCUGGGUCAAGAUUGACGCUCAUGCACGAAAGCGUGGGGAGCAAACAGGAUUAGAUACCCUGGUAGUCCACGCCCUAAACGAUGUCUACUAGUUGUCGGGUUUUAAUUAACUUGGUAACGCAGCUAACGCGUGAAGUAGACCGCCUGGGGAGUACGGUCGCAAGAUUAAAACUCAAAGGAAUUGACGGGGACCCGCACAAGCGGUGGAUGAUGUGGAUAAUUCCAAUGCAACGCGAAAACCUUACUACCCUUGACUG
rnacentral:rRNA from 1 species